CAGCAGCCGCGGGAAUACGGAGGAUCCGAGCGUUAUCCGGAAUUAUUGGGUUUAAAGGGUGCGUAGGCGGAUAGAUAAGUCAGUGGUGAAAGACGGUGGCUCAACCAUCGCAGUGCCGUUGAUACUGUUUAUCUUGAAUAUGGAUGAGGUAGGCGGAAUGUGGCAAGUAGCGGUGAAAUGCAUAGAUAUGCCACAGAACACCGACUGCGAAGGCAGCUUACCAAGGCAAAAUUGACGCUGAGGCACGAAAGCGUGGGGAUCGAACAGGAUUAGAUACCCCUGUAGUCCCUGUCUCUUAUAC
rnacentral:rRNA from 1 species